AUGUCUGGGGUGCGCGCUAUGCGGAUCAGCAUGGAGUCGGCCUGCGAGAAGCGGGUCUGGGAGGUGGGCCUGGAUGGCACAGAGACCUACCUGCAGCCGCUGUCCAUGUCCCAGAACCUGGCGCGUCUGGCGCAGCAGAUCGACUUCAGCCAGGGCUCGGCCCCGAGGAGGAGGCAGGGGGCGCCGAGGGCGAUGCGCAGGACUGGGUGGACGCCGGGGCCAGCGGGGACCAGGACGACGAGGAAGGGUUGGUAAAAUUUCAGCCUCCCCUUUGGCCUUGGGACUCAGUGAGGAACAGUUUGAGAAGUGCCCUGACAGAGAUGUGCGUUCUCUAUGAUGUUCUCAGUAUCGUUAGGGAUAAAAAAUUUAUGACUCUUGAUCCCGUUUCUCAGGAUGGACUUCCUCCAAAACAGAAUCCCCAGACGUUACAGUUGAUAGCUAAAAAGAAGUCACUUGCUGGAGCAGCACAAAUCCUAUUGAAGGCCGCAGAAAGACUGACUAAAUCAGUUACCGAAAACCAAGAAAAUAAGCUACAAAGAGACUUCAACUCUGAGCUUCAGAGAUUAAGACAACACUGGAAACUUAGAAAAGUUGGAGAUAAAAUUCUUGGAGAUCUCAGCUACAGAAGUGCAGGAUCUCUCUUUCCCCAUCUUGGUACAUUUGAGGUCAUAAAGAAUACAGAUAUUGAUCUAGAUAAGAAGAUACCUGAAGAUUACUGUCCCCUGGAUGUUCAAAUUCCUAGCGAUUUAGAGGGAUCUGCACAUAUCAAGGUUUCCAUUCAAAAACCGGCUCCAGACAUAGGUGAUCUGGGCACGGUUAACCUCUUCAAACGGCCUUUGCCCAAAUCCAAACCAGGUUCCCCACAUUGGCAGACGAAAUUAGAAGCAGCACAAAAUGUUCUCUUGUGUAAAGAAAUUUUUGCACAGCUCUCUCAGGAAGCUGUUCACAUUAAAUCACAGAUCCCUCACAUUGUGGUGAAAAACCAGAUCAUCUCUCGGCCCUUUCCAAACUUGCAGUUAUCAAUUUCUUUGUGCCAUUUCUCAAAUGACAAGAAAUCCCAAAAAUUUGCUACAGAGAAGCAAAGUCCGGAGGACCACCUUUAUGUCCUAGAGCAUAAUUUGCAUCUACUGAUGAGAGAGUUUCAUAAACAGACCUUGAGUUCCAUCAUGAUGCCUCAUCCAGCGAGUGCACCUUUCGGCCACAAGAGAAUGAGACUUUCCGGUCCUCAAGCUUUUGAUAAAAAUGAAAUCAAUUCACUACAGUCCAGUGAAGGGCUUCUGGAAAAAAUAAUCAAACAAGCAAAGCAUAUUUUUCUGAGGAGUAGGACUACUGCAACCAUUGACAGCGUAGCAAGUCGCAUUGAGGACCCUCAGAUACAGGCUCACUGGUCAAAUAUUAAUGAUGUUUAUGAAUCUAGUGUGAAAGUCUUAAUCACGUCACAAGGUUAUGAACAAAUAUGCAAGUCCAUUCAGCUGCAGUUGAACAUUGGAGUUGAGCAGAUCCACGUGGUACACAGAGAUGGAAGAGAAAUCACGCUGUCUCACCAGGAGCAGGAGCUGCAGGACUUCCUUCUGUCUCAGAUGUCGCAGCAUCAGGUGCAUGCAGUUCAGCAGCUAGCCAAGGUCAUGGGCUGGCAAGUUCUGAGUUUCAGUAAUCAUGUGGGGCUUGGGCACAUAGAGAGCACUGGCAAUGCUUCCGCUAUAACAGUGGCCUCCCCAAGUGGUGACUAUGUUAUUUCAGUGUGCAACGGCCCUGAAAGUGGCAGCAAGAUUAUGGUUCAGUUUCCACGUAACCAGUGUAAAGACCUCCCAAAAAGUGAUGUUCUACAAGAUAGCAAAUGGAAUCAUCUGCGUGGCCCAUUCAAAGAAGUUCAGUGGAAUAAAAUGGAAGGUCGAAACUUUGUGCAUAAAAUGGAGCUGCUUAUGUCUGCUCUGAGCCCUUGUCUACUAUGAUUUUCUUCCAGAAGUUUCCAGAAUUUUUUUCCAGGGAAGUCUCCAGAAACUUUGACAUGAGGUGUUUGCAGAUCAAAUACAAGCAAAAGGAAGAGAAAUCU